GUGGAUGCCUUGGCUCUCGGAGGCGACGAAGGACGUGAUAAGCUGCGAAAAGCUCGGGGGAGGCGCAAAUAGCCCUUGAUCCCGGGAUAUCCGAAUGGGGCAACCCGGCAGGCUGAAGGCCUGCCAUCCCGUAAGGGAGGCGAACGUGGGGAACUGAAACAUCUAAGUACCCAUAGGAGGAGAAAAUAAACAAUGAUUCCGUAAGUAGUGGCGAGCGAACACGGAAGAGCCCAAACCCAUGUCGUCUAGGCGACACGGGGGUUGUAGGACCACGACGUGGCAAGAUAGAGUCAAGUGGAACGCCUUGGAAAAGGCGGUCAUAGAGGGUGAAAACCCCGUACACGACUGACGAUUGAAGCCUAGUGGUAUCCUGAGUAGCGCGGGGCACGAGAAAUCUUGCGUGAAACUGCGGGGCCCAUCCCGUAAGGCUAAAUACUCCCGAGAGACCGAUAGCGAACCAGUACCGUGAGGGAAAGGUGAAAAGAACCCCGAGCAGGGGAGUGAAAUAGACCCUGAACCCGUCUGCCUACAAGCGGUCGGAGCAUCGUCAAGAUGUGACGGCGUGCCUUUUGCAUAAUGAACCUACGAGUUACCUUCCCCGGCAAGGUUAAGUACCUAAGGUACGGAGCCGAAGCGAAAGCGAGUCUGAAGAGGGCGGCCAGUCGGGGGGGGUAGACGCGAAACCGAGUGAUCUACCCUUGGCCAGGUUGAAGGUUGGGUAACACCAACUGGAGGACCGGAUGGGUAAGCGUUGAAAAGCUUUCCAAUGAGCUGAGGGUAGGGGUGAAAGGCUAAUCAAACUCGGAGAUAGCUCGUACUCCCCGAAAUGCAUUUAGGUGCAGCCUCUUUAUAGUAUAUCGUGAGGUAGAGCGACUGAUUGGAUGCGAGGGCUUCACCGCCUAUCAAGUCCAGAUAAACUCCGAAUGCGCGAUAUAUAUUUAAAGGGAGUGAGGGCGCGGGUGCUAAGGUCCGUGUCCGAGAGGAGAAGAAUCCAGACCACCGGCUAAGGCCCCCAAAUGAUCGUUAAGUUGAACUAACGAGGUCGGAUCGCAGAGACAGCUAGGAUGUUGGCUUGGAAGCAGCCAUUCAUUUAAAGAGUGCGUAACAGCUCACUAGUCGAGCGAUCUGGCGUGGAUAAUAAUCGGGCAUAAACGAUCUGCCGAAGCCGUGGAUGUCGCAAGACAUGGUAGGGGAGCAUUCCAUGCGGCGUCGAAGAUAAGGGAUGACCCUUGUUGGAGCGCAUGGAAAAGCAAAUGUAGGUAUGAGUAACGAUAAGGGGGGCGAGAAACCCCCCCGCCGAAAGACCAAGGUUUCCUGAUCAACGCUAAUCGGAUCAGGGUGAGUCGGGACCUAAGGCUAAGCCGAACGGCGACGCCGAUGGAAGAAUGGGUUAAUAUUCCCAUACUGCCUCAUGGAGUGACGUGGAGACGGAGAAGUGACAGUCCUGCCGGCUGACGGAAUAGCCGGUUGAAGGGUGUAGAUAUUGAUUCCCGUAGGCAAAUCCGCGGGGAGAGUCGAACCUGACAGUAUACGGAGCGCUUGCGCAACGUAAUAUGGACGUAACCAUGCUCCCAAGAAAAUCCGCUAAACUUAUCCAUGCGGCACCCGUACCGUAAACGGACACACGUGGUCGGGUUGAGAAUACUGAGGCGCUCGAGUGACUCACGGUUAAGGAACUAGGCAAAUUGACCCUGUAACUUCGGGAUAAAGGGUCCUCGUCGUAAGGCGAGGCGCAGAGAAUAGGUCCAGGCAACUGUUUAACAAAAACACAUGGCUGUGCUAAAUGGAAACAUGAUGUAUACAGCCUGACACCUGCCCGGUGCUGGAAGGUUAAGAGGAGAUGUCAUCGCAAGAGAAGCGUUGAAUUGAAGCCCCAGUAAACGGCGGCCGUAACUAUAACGGUCCUAAGGUAGCGAAAUUCCUUGUCG
rnacentral:rRNA from 1 species